rnacentral:rRNA from 1 species
GGCGAACGCUGGCGGCGUGCUUAACACAUGCAAGUCGAACGUGAAAUGUAGCAAUACAGAGUAAAGUGGCGUACGGUGAGUAACACGUGGGUAAUCUACCAAAGUGUCUGGAAUAACCGAUCGAAAGGUUGGCUAAUACUGGAUAGUUCAAGCUUGUUAUAAUGGCAAGAUUGGGAAAGGGAGCUGGCAACAGCCUUCGCAUUUUGAUGAGCUCGCGUCUGAUUAGCUAGUUGGUAAGGUAAUGGCUUACCAAGGCUGAGAUCAGUAGCUGGUCUGAGAGGAUGAUCAGCCACACUGGAACUGAAACACGGUCCAGACUCCUACGGGAGGCAGCAGUGGGGAAUCUUGCGCAAUGGACGAAAGUCUGACGCAGCCACGCCGCGUGAGUGAAGAAGGCC